rnacentral:misc_RNA from 1 species
GCUUUGAUUUUCUUCUCCCCUUGGUGCAAGCUCCUCCUGAGCAAAUUCAAGAGCUUCUUCUACUUUUCCAUUACGAAUUAGUUCUAUCAACCUUUGCUGUUGGAGAUGGAAAAACAAUUGGGGAUUUGUAUCCAAUAUCUCAGGAUUCAAAUCAUUCACUUUCUCAAUUGCAUCCUCAACAUUGCCGCAUUGUACUGCCUUCUUAACGGCCAUUCUAUCUGUUAUGGUUGCAAGAUCUAUUUCUG